rnacentral:rRNA from 1 species
CCUACGGGGGGCAGCAGUGGGGAAUAUUGCACAAUGGGCGCAAGCCUGAUGCAGCCAUGCCGCGUGUGUGAAGAAGGCCUUCGGGUUGUAAAGCACUUUCAGCGGGGAGGAAGGCGGUGAGGUUAAUAACCUCAUCGAUUGACGUUACCCGCAGAAGAAGCACCGGCUAACUCCGUGCCAGCAGCCGCGGUAAUACGGAGGGUGCAAGCGUUAAUCGGAAUUACUGGGCGUAAAGCGCACGCAGGCGGUCUGCCAAGUCGGAUGUGAAAUCCCCGGGCUCAACCUGGGAACUGCAUUCGAAACUGGCAGGCUAGAGUCUUGUAGAGGGGGGUAGAAUUCCAGGUGUAGCGGUGAAAUGCGUAGAGAUCUGGAGGAAUACCGGUGGCGAAGGCGGCCCCCUGGACAAAGACUGACGCUCAGGUGCGAAAGCGUGGGGAGCAAACAGGAUUAGAUACCCCAGUAGUC